rnacentral:rRNA from 1 species
CCUACGGGAGGCAGCAGUAGGGAAUAUUGCUCAAUGGGGGAAACUCUGAAGCAGCAACGCCGCGUGGAGGAUGAAGGUUUUCGGAUUGUAAACUCCUUUUGUUAGAGAAGAUAAUGACGGUAUCUAACGAAUAAGCACCGGCUAACUCCGUGCCAGCAGCCGCGGUAAUACGGAGGGUGCAAGCGUUACUCGGAAUCACUGGGCGUAAAGAGCGCGUAGGCGGGAUAGCAAGUCAGAUGUGAAAUCCUAUGGCUUAACCAUAGAACUGCAUUUGAAACUGUUAUUCUAGAGUAUGGGGGAGGUAGGUGGAAUUCGUGGUGUAGGGGUAAAAUCCGUAGAGAUCAAGAGGAAUACUCAUUGCGAAGGCGACCUGCUAGAACAUAACUGACGCUGAUGCGCGAAAGCGUGGGGAGCAAACAGGAUUAGAUACCCCGGUAGUC